rnacentral:rRNA from 1 species
AUUGAACGCUGGCGGCAUGCUUUACACAUGCAAGUCGAACGGCAGCGCGGGCUUCGGCCUGGCGGCGAGUGGCGAACGGGUGAGUAAUGCAUCGGAACGUGCCCAGUAGUGGGGGAUAGCCCGGCGAAAGCCGGAUUAAUACCGCAUACGACCUGAGGGUGAAAGCGGGGGACCGAAAGGCCUCGCGCUAUUGGAGCGGCCGAUGUCGGAUUAGCUAGUUGGUGGGGUAAAGGCUUACCAAGGCGACGAUCCGUAGCUGGUCUGAGAGGACGACCAGCCACACUGGGACUGAGACACGGCCCAGACUCCGACGGGAGGCAGCAGUGGGGAAUUUUGGACAAUGGGGGCAACCCUGAUCCAGCCAUGCCGCGUGCGGGAAGAAGGCCUUCGGGUUGUAAACCGCUUUUGUUCGGGAAGAAAUCCUCUGGGCUAAUACCCCGGGGGGAUGACGGUACCGGAAGAAUAAGCACCGGCUAACUACGUG